rnacentral:rRNA from 1 species
ACGCACUGUAAAGACAGCGUUAAAGCUCAACAAUUAAACAAUAUUUAAUUCCAUCAACAAAUUAACCAACUCCUAGACCCACUACUGGACUAUUCUAUUAAAAAAUAGAAGCAAUAAUGUUAAUAUGAGUAACGAGAAACAACUUCUCCCCGCAUAAGUUUAAGUCAGUAUCUGAUAAUACCCUGACUAUUAACAGUAAAUAAAAAUAACCCAAAAAUAAACAAUUUAUUCACCAUACUGUUAAUCCAACACAGGAGUGCACCCAGGAAAGAUUAAAAGAAGUAAAAGGAACUCGGCAAACACAAACCCCGCCUGUUUACCAAAAACAUCACCUCCAGCAUUCCCAGUAUUGGAGGCACUGCCUGCCCAGUGACAAAAGUUAAACGGCCGCGGUAUCCUGACCGUGCAAAGGUAGCAUAAUCAUUUGUUCUUUAAAUAAGGACCUGUAUGAAUGGCCACACGAGGGUUUUACUGUCUCUUACUUCCAAUCAGUGAAAUUGACCUUCCCGUGAAGAGGCGGGAAUAAGAAAAUAAGACGAGAAGACCCUAUGGAGCUUUAACUAGUUAGCUUAAAGAAAAAAACUUUACCACCGAGGGAUAACACUAAUCUUAAUAAACUAACAGUUUCGGUUGGGGUGACCUCGGAGAAUAAAAAAUCCUCCGAGCGAUUUUAAAAACAAGACACACAAGUCAAAUUGAACUAUCGCUUAUUGAUCCAAAAAUUUGAUCAACGGAACAAGUUACCCUAGGGAUAACAGCGCAAUCCUAUUCAAGAGUCCAUAUCGACAAUAGGGUUUACGACCUCGAUGUUGGAUCAGGACACCCCGAUGGUGCAACCGCUAUCAAAGGUUCGUUUGUUCAACGAUUAAAGUCCUACGU